rnacentral:rRNA from 2 species
AAAUUGAAGAGUUUGAUCAUGGCUCAGAUUGAACGCUGGCGGCAGGCCUAACACAUGCAAGUCGAGCGGAAACGAGUUAUCUGAACCUUCG